rnacentral:rRNA from 1 species
GAAGCCGGGUGGAGCAUGUGGUUUAAUUCGAUGAUACGCGAGAAACCUUACCAGGGCUUGACAUAUACAGGAAUGUUGUAGAGAUACAGCAGCCGCUUGCGGUCUGUAUCAGGUGCUGCAUGGCUGUCGUCAGCUCGUGCUGUGAAGUGUUGGGUUAAGUCCCGCAACGAGCGCAACCCUAUCAUCUGUUGCCAGCAUUUAAGGUGGGGACUCAGAUGAGCUGCCGGUGACAAACCGGAGGAAGGUGGGGACGACGUCAAGUCAUCAUGGCCCUUAUGUCCUGGGCUACACACGUGCUACAAUGGCCGGUACAGAGUGAAGCGAAACCGCGAGGUGAAGCAAAACGCAGAAAGCCGGUCUCAGUACGGAUUGGAGUCUGAAACUCGACUUCAUGAAGUUGGAAUCGCUAGUAAUCGCGCAUCAGCAUGGCGCGGUGAAUACGUUCCCGGGCCUU